rnacentral:rRNA from 1 species
ACAGCAGCAGCCGCGGUAAUACGAGGGGGGCAAGCGUUGUUCGGAUUACUGGGCGUAAAGCGUGCGCAGGCGGUUCGUUAAGACAGAUGUGAAAUCCCCGGGCUUAACCUGGGAACUGCAUUUGUGACUGGCGAGCUAGAGUAUGGCAGAGGGGGGUAGAAUUCCACGUGUAGCAGUGAAAUGCGUAGAGAUGUGGAGGAAUACCGAUGGCGAAGGCAGCCCCCUGGGCCAAUACUGACGCUCAUGCACGAGAGCGUGGGGAGCAAGCAGGAUUAGAUACCCCUGUAGUCCCUGUCUCUUAUACA